GACGAACGCUGGCGGCGUGCUUAACGCAUGCAAGUCGAACGGAAAGGCCCUGCUUUUGUGGGGUGCUCGAGUGGCGAACGGGUGAGUAACACGUGAGUAACCUGCCCUUGACUUUGGGAUAACUUCAGGAAACUGGGGCUAAUACCGGAUAGGAGCUUCUGCUGCAUGGUGGGGGUGGGAAAGUGUCGGCGGUGGGGGAUGGACGCGCGGCUUAUCAGCUUGUUGGUGGGGUAGUGGCUUACCAAGGCAUUGACGGGUAGCCGAACUGAGAGGUUGACCGGCCACAUUAGGACUGAGAUACGGCCCAGACUCCUACGGGAGGCAGCAGUGGGGAAUAUUGCACAAUGGGCGGAAGCCUGAUGCAGCGACGCCGCGUGCGGGAUGACGGCCUGCGGGUUGUAAACCGCUUUCGCCUGUGACGAAGCGUGAGUGACGGUACUUGGUAAAGAAGCACCGGCUAACUACGUG
rnacentral:rRNA from 1 species